UACGUAGGGGGCAAGCGUUAUCCGGAUUUACUGGGUGUAAAGGGAGCGUAGACGGUGCAGCAAGUCUGAUGUGAAAGGUCGGGGCCCAACCCCGGGACUGCAUUGGAAACUGUUGAACUGGAGUACAGGAGAGGUAAGCGGAAUUCCUAGUGUAGCGGUGAAAUGCGUAGAUAUUAGGAGGAACACCAGUGGCGAAGGCGACUUUCUGGACUGUACCUGACGCUGAGGCGCGAAAGCGUGGGUAGCGAACGGG
rnacentral:rRNA from 1 species